rnacentral:piRNA from 1 species
UGGAGGUGUCUGGAUGAGCCAUGAUGAUCCC